rnacentral:rRNA from 1 species
UGAACGCUGGCGGCGUGCCUAAUACAUGCAAGUCGAACGCAUUGUGGUUGAAAUGAUAUGAAGAACUUGUUCAGAUUUGAUUUUCAACAUUGCAAUGAGUGGCGAACGGGUGAGUAACACGUGGGAAACCUACCUCUUAGCAGGGGAUAACAUUUGGAAACAAAUGCUAAUACCGUAUAAUAAUUAAAACCGCAUGGUUUUAGUUUAAAAGAUGGUCUUGCUAUCACUAAGAGAUGGUCCCGCGGUGUAUUAGUUAGUUGGUGAGGUAAUGGCUCACCAAGACAAUGAUACAUAGCCGAGUUGAGAGACUGACCGGCCACAAUGGGACUGAGACACGGCCCAUACUCCUACGGGAGGCAGCAGUAGGGAAUCUUCCACAAUGGACGAAAGUCUGAUGGAGCAACGCCGCGUGUGUGAUGAAGGGUUUCGGCUCGUAAAACACUGUUGUAAGAGAAGAAUGACAUUGAGAGUAACUGUUCAAUGUGUGACGGUAUCUUACCAGAAAGGAACGGCUAAAUACGUGCCAGCAGCCGCGGUAAUACGUAUGUUCCAAGCGUUAUCCGGAUUUAUUGGGCGUAAAGCGAGCGCAGACGGUUAUUUAAGUCUGAAGUGAAAGCCCUCGGCUCAACCGAGGAAUUGCUUUGGAAACUGGAUAACUUGAGUGCAGUAGAGGAAAGUGGAACUCCAUGUGUAGCGGUGAAAUGCGUAGAUAUAUGGAA